rnacentral:lncRNA from 1 species
CAAAUUUAUGCAUUUCAUUCAAAUCAGUGAUCUAUGUCUGUGUGAUCCCUAAACAUAAUUGUGGACUGUAAAAAUGUAACACCAUAAUUACAUUCCUAACUAGAAUUAGCUGUCUGCUUUUAUAUCUUUAUGCUGUACUUUAGCACUUCAUAUUACUUAGGUUAUUUUGCUUUGGUUACAAUGGCUCAAGUAGAAAAGCGGUCCCAUCCAUAUUAAGACAGUGUACAAAACUGUAAAUAAAAUGUGUACAGUGAAAAAAA